rnacentral:rRNA from 1 species
CGCGUGGGAAUCUGCCCUUGGGUUCGGAAUAACAGUUAGAAAUGACUGCUAAUACCGGAUGAUGACUUCGGUCCAAAGAUUUAUCGCCCAGGGAUGAGCCCGCGUAGGAUUAGCUAGUUGGUGAGGUAAAAGCUCACCAAGGCGACGAUCCUUAGCUGGUCUGAGAGGAUGAUCAGCCACACUGGGACUGAGACACGGCCCAGACUCCUACGGGAGGCAGCAGUGGGGAAUAUUGGACAAUGGGCGAAAGCCUGAUCCAGCAAUGCCGCGUGAGUGAUGAAGGCCUUAGGGUUGUAAAGC